rnacentral:rRNA from 1 species
UACGAGGGGGGCGAGCGUUGUUCGGAAUCACUGGGCGUAAAGCGUGCGUAGGCGGUCUUGAAAGUUAGGAGUGAAAGCCCCAGGCUCAACUUGGGAAUUGCUCUUAAUACUACAGGACUCGAAUCUCGGAGAGGAUAGCGGAAUUGUCAGUGUAGCAGUGAAAUGCGUAGAUAUUGACAGGAACACCAGUGGCGUAAGCGGCUAUCUGGACGAGUAUUGACGCUGAGGCACGAAAGCGUGGGGAUCAAAC